rnacentral:lncRNA from 1 species
CCUGGUGAUUCAAACAUCUGAUGUAGGUGGAUGUGGAUAUGGCGGUCGGCGAGGAUCGAGAAACUGCGAUGUCGGUAAUUUCCGUCUACUGGGAGUCACCUGGCCCUGAAAUUCUUCCGGGGAAGGCUUGGCGAAGCUGUGAAUGGACCUUAAAGGAAGACGCGCUCGAGUGGAAUUUGAGAAAACGAUACUACACGAUCCGUGGAAGUGGUUACUGGGGCGAGAGAUUGGGGCUGAGAAAAACCCGCGGGCUGGAGGAACGGAGAAGAAGCGAUGCCCGUCCACGGGAGCAACGGAGAGGCAGAGAACCGGUGAGAUAGAGAAUUUAGACGCGAGGAGGACGGACGGAGAGAAAAUCCACCCGGUGAGAGCAGGAGAGAAGGACAAAAAAAGAGAAAGAGGUACACAUAGUCGUGAGUAUACAGGUGUAGGUAUGUAUAGAAAAAGAGGUAAUCAAUGAGCUGGAGAAUUUAGACGCGAGAACGGGGAAAGAGAUGGAGCGAUGCGGCGAUGAUGGGUGUAGAACGGAAAGAGAGGAACGGAGAAGAGACGGUAAUCGCAGGUAUGACUGAUAAGCGACGCGUGACGGUAUUAACGUGUUUUUUGCGACCUCUCACUUCCGGUUGUCAUUCAACACUCCACUUUACAGGUGAAGAUGGAUCGGCCUGUACCGCACGUCCCGGAUAAGCCAUUUUAUAAAUCCGCCGUAAGGCCGAUUUUUAUGGAACCCGCCAACCCCGCACGCGAUCUUCGGGGUCGAUCCUUAUCCACGGUCUGCACGUUUUGAGAAAUUUCGGGAUUUGGUGAGAAUUUAUUUCAGACUCCUCGAGACACGUCGGCCCUGGUUUAUACCACCUGGAGUGCCCGGAUUUAUGGUAAAAUAAUAAUUCACCCCGAAAGUCUGGCGUAUUUCGGGUUUAUCGGCGCUCCGACGAAAGCAACGGGGAUGGCAUGAUGAUGAAAUUGGUCUACGCUCUCCCCGUACGAAGGAGUACAACAGAUCAUUAUUACACCUUGGAAAAAAUGUGGAAUAAUUUCUCCAAGAAUCGCCAGGAAGCUGAGGAGAACUCUGCCCUGUGAGGAAUUAAUUUCUGAGGCCUAUCUACGGAGGACGAUUUUUGGGAUGUUGAUUAUCUCUCGACUCUUCGGAGACGUUUGGGUUACUUCGACGCCAGAGAAGUUCUGGAAGAAGCGCACACGGGAACGACAUCCUGGACCUCUUGGGAAAUGACAUACGUCUUUAGAAGAGAGAAUCUUCUCUCGGUUAUCGAGACAAUCGGGUUCUGGCAUUUGCGUGCGCCGGGAGAAUAUCCUAUGAGGAUGGGAACCCGUCCUGCUGGGUUUCAGCGCUCUGUUGCGUUUUCGUGUACAUACCCUGGUCGAGGGUCUACCGUGAGACUCUCGUUACUUCUGUACAGAUUCUUGAUAAGUGUUUUAUAUUUUUUAGUGAGGCAACAUUUGUUAAACCCUGCCGUGAAAUCGAACUACGCUCUGCGGCCCUGGCUGGUGUCACGGAGGAUCCGAGUAGUACUCGCAGGAUACUCACGUGUCUUGGACGAUUAAUCUGGUCGAUUAAAUCGGUCCAUCUAUCAACCAUCGACCACGUGGCUGCUUAUCUGGUUAUCUUCGAGAAAGAUGCCGCUGAGGGGUGACCGUCGAACGGAGGUGGAAUAUCUCCAGCCGAUUGCAGAGGAUGAGUCCAACCGAGCACAUUCCACGUUCCCAUGUGGAGGUCGACCCCGGCGAACGAUCGGCAGAGGGUCAUCGGAUCAACGAUUGUGCUUGCCGUAAUUAUUAAUCACAGUCGGAUCCGGUCCAACCAUGUGAAAGGCCUGAUCUCCGAUGUAAGGUUGGAUGCCACGGCCGAGCGUUGUUCGCCGGGUCCCGUGU